UACACUUGCAUAUAACGUAUUCAUUUAAUGUGUCAAACGACAUCUACACAAAAACCCUAAUCGGAUGCUCCUAUUUUCUCCCACACCACUAUCGCACAAGCAGUGAAGCAACAUCCAUUCUCCAACCUCACAACACCCACCGUCUCCUCCAUCUCUCUACCCUCGCAAUAAUUUUCUAGCGACCAACCCCCACUACGAUCCAUCUCUACCUCUCUUCUCUAUCCUAACUUACUAUCCAUACCUGACACCACUCAUCGUCAUAGAUAACGUAAUCACCGAUGCCUCCAUCUCCGCCAUCAUCCAGUGGCAAAGCGUCAACGGCCAUCAUGCUUGGAAUCUAGCAUCAGUGACCUAACUCAUUCAACCGACCCUAAAAAGGCCCUUUUGUUCUAUGCUAAUCUCACUAAGGUAAAUUUCAAGAAUAUAUGCUUUUUUUGUUUGAUUAUUCCUUAUCAAUGUGUAUAACUAUUUCUUGCAUUUUGCAUUCACGUCACAUCCUUGCCCAACUCAAUGGAGUCUUGAUGCACCAUUGUUCUUCCUACGCUACCACAGCCACACUCCUCUUCUCUACACAAACAGACACACAUUGUUGAUAGACCCACCUCCAUUUCUUCUGACUGAUUAUUCUUUGGUAUUAUAUUCUAUUCUCUCUAUGUGUGUGUGUUAUGUUUUAUUAGUUUUAGAUCAUAGAUCAACAUUUUGGGUUUUUGCUCUUAACUAGGUUUAUGCAGGUCAAAUGAGUAAAAAAGAUUACUAAACAUACUGAUUGCAUAAGAAAUUGGGUAUGUCUAUAUGUUUGACAAAUUGGUUACCUGAAUUAGAGUUUUUUUUUUCAAUACUAUGCUCUUAAAUAGAUUGUUCUACUUAAAAUGUUAGGUUAUCAGUUAAUUAUAGUGAAGGCUGAAAAUUACAUGAGGUAAUUUCUAAAUCAGGUAAUUUAUUUGAGGUUUUUUUUCCAAUACCAUGCUCUUAAAUAUAUUAUUCUACUUAAAAUUUUAGGUUACCAACUAAUUAUAGUGAAGGCUGAAAAUUACAUGAGUUGAUUUCCAAAUCAGGUAAUUUCCAACAGCAUGCUCUUAAAAUAGAUUUAUGUACAUAACUUUCUAGGCUAAAUGCAAAAACAGUAACAUUGUCACCAUUUUAUUUUAUAUCAAAUGUAGAUGUAGGUGAUGGAAUCAAUUUGGAGUUCUGGAGAGGUGUAUCAAGCCUUGAAAAGCUUGAAUCUUAAGAUAAAUGAAGUUAGUCUUCACUGUUCAGGUUAAUUUAUAUGUAUUUACUUGCUAAUAUUACUUGACUUACAUAUUGUAUUUUUUAUUUUAAUUUUGACCGGUUUUUUCAAUUCUGUGCAUAUAUCUUUGUGCCUUAUAUCUUGCAUUUGUUUUCUUAGUUAUUUUCUUUAUAAGUUGUCAGCAUUUAUGGUGCAUCAAUAUUGCAAAACAUUUUCUCAAUUGGGUAUAACCAAUUUUAUAUACAUUUUCUAAUUAGGGUUUAUUAAAAAAAUCAUCUUCUAACAUGGUCUAAACUGUAUUUUCACUUUUCUUCCUCAAAGACCGGUGGAUAUAGCCAAGACAUGAUCUCUAUAGUGAGCUUUUCUUUAUCAAAGAUCAAUAAAGGUAUGUGAAUUUGAUGGUCAUGAAAGUAAAUUGUGAAUCUUGAGUUUGAGUAUUAAUGAAAUGCAUUUAUUUUUGUUUUUUCAUGCACAUAUAUGCUUGGAUAGGUGUAUUAGGCCCCAUAUGAUCCUAAAAAGCUUUAAGCUUAAGAGAAAUCAAGUUAGCCUUGACUGUUCACAUGAAAAUAUGCAAAUUCUGCCACAAAUGUUGAAUAACUACAAAGGUGAGUAAUGAGGGCAGAUCGUCUUUGAGUGAAAAAGCGCAUGGAAAUACCACAUUGAGGGACAAGGAUUCAACCUAACCUGGUUAGGAACAACAUACAUUUUGGAGACUCAUAUGUACAAGUAUAAUUAGCUUGUGAUACAAUAAGUAAAUUCAUGCUAAUCUUCCUACAAUUAAGUGAUUUUAAAACCAUUAUUUUUGUUGUGGGGGUUAUUUUUUUCGGUUUGACGUUACGUAUGAUAUAACCAAAGUGAGUACAGUAAGAUUCUAGAAGGUAGCUUCCCUUUGUAACAAUAUACAUUUUUGCAGUCAAUUCAUAAGUUGACCUUUUUCUUUUGUUCUUUUGAUUUUUUACUUCAUGAGCAGGAUUUGUCAUGGUAAUUAAGUGUACACAUAAUUAUAUGCAUCUUGCCAUUCAAAGUCGUUGAUCCCAGGUUUAACUCUAUGGAUCCCAAUGGUUGCAAUUUCCUUACUCCAGGUAUGCCCAGUUUUUUUUUUUAAAAAAAAACUUUCUUUUUUAGGCAUUUGGUUUUCAAAAAUGAAAUCUCUAAGGGUAUUUUUGGAAAUUUCUUUGUUUCCUUUUGGUUUGCUAUGCGAAAUACAUAAAAAAAUAACAAGUUAAAACCAUCUUUUUUGUAUUUAUUAAUUAUGUGUAUAUCAAUUAACAAGUUAAAACCAUCUAUUGAUGUUUGUAUUGACCCACCUCCACCAUCCAUGAACCCAAAUUUUUGAUAUGUUUCUAUAUANNNNNNNNNNNNNNNNNNNNNNNNNNNNNNNNNNNNNNNNNNNNNNNNNNNNNNUAUAUAUAUAUAUAUAUUGAAUUUCUAUUGAUGUUUGUAUUGACCCACCUCCACCAUCCAUGAAACUCAAAUUUUUGAUAUUUUUCCUCUGUCUAAUGUCUUGAAGUCAACAAUCUCUUAAAUUUCUUGAAGCUGCUUACAUGUUGUGUGAAUUGGAUGGUUUAAACUAACGCAUGUGGCUUACUUACACGAGGUUAGAUAAUAAGAUUUCUUUUUGGGUGAAAAUACAAUCUUGUAACAUUAAAAAUGAAAAUAAGAUUCCAUAUAUAGUAUGGUUUCUUAUUCUGGUUUAAGUCUAAAAAUCACAUAUGGAUUUGUGGAGCAUAUUAGGAUUUAGCUUCAUAAGAAAGUAACUUUUUAUAUGAAUUAAACGAAACCUCUUUAAUAAUGUUAAUAUCAAUUCAUAACAUAUGUAAUCAUAAUUUCACCUUUCAUGAUUUGAUUUCUUGAAACAACUAUAAUUGCAAUCAAAAGUUCACAAAUGCCCUAUUGAGUAAGAAGUAUCUCUUUCAUUCAAUAAUGCUAAAGGUAAUAAUAUUCAAACAAUGCUAUUUUUCAAGGAAUAAAAAUAAUUGAUACAUGUAUUUUUGUUGCAACGUCAAACUAAAUAAAAGUUAUGUCUCAUCAAUUAAGUUAAUUAUUUCCACCUGAAUUUCACAUAUUGUUUUAUACUGACAGAACUAAAAUAAUAAAUCCAAUCAAUUUACUGAUCAAGAACCGGUUUUGGUAUACAAAUAUUAAAAAUGUUAAUCUUUAUUGAAAAUUGACAAAUCCAGUAGAUAUCAAUCGAAUAUAAAGUUUAAACUUAAUAAACAUACUACUAUAAAUAUAAAAAAUAAUUUUUUGGUUAAAAAUCCUGUGACAAAAACAUGAACCUUUCUUCCAUGUUUUUCAUCGCAAAAGAUCAAAAAAUUAGAAUAGUGUCUUAAACAAAGUCAAAUUAUUAUUAACUUGCUCUUAUUUUUAAAUAAAUACUAUUACCGCUAUUAUUAUCAUUAUUGUAGACAACCCUCCUCCUCCUCUCGAUAAACAAUUCAAAGAGGCAUAAUCAUUGAUUUUCGAUCAUCCACCGCUAUGGGUUCCACUGAUAAUUUUGUGGCUAUGUUGUGGAAGGUAAUUAGUUUUUAUUUGUUGAAGUGAAACUAUUCAUCAUUUUUAGACAUGAAAGCGUUCUUCAAUUUCAUUGAAAGCAUAUAUGACGAAAUAUAAAACAAUCGGCUGAAGUACACAAUCUGCGGAACAAAUCAAAAGUAAUAGUGAAACCCGACAAACAUUUCAAAAGCAGUGAAGUCUAUAUAUUAAAUGUGGUGUCUAAAAAGUGUUGCACGAUUAAUAAUGCACAAUCAAUCAUGUAUCCAUGUAUAUUUGUAAAAAUCCUAACUUUUCAUUUGUAAUUGUAUUUCUGCUAGCAUUACUCUUAUUAUAAUUAUUUAGAUAUAGUAAACUAUU
rnacentral:lncRNA from 1 species